UUGACGUUUAUUAGAUACAAACAAACAGACAAACAAACAAACAGACAGACGAGCCAAAUUUAUAUAUAGAAGUGGCUUGGGAACUUAUAGUUGCAUUGAAACAGUGGAGAAACUAUACACUUUUUAUACACUUUUAAGCCAAAAAAACAACGCUAUAUUCACUAUUAUUGUUCAAAAAAAGAUUUGAAGGGUAAUGUGGUGAGUCAUGAAUAUCCUGCUUUAAAUUGAAUGUCAUAUAAAAUUGCAACAAUAGUUCUAACUUAUACCUUUAAGUCAGUUAAGUUAUUUUUUAACAGGCUGGUGGACGUUAUAACUGGUCGCCAUUCUUUCCGUUCUCAUUCAAACCAGAACAGUACGAUUAUGGAUCUGAAGAAAAGACCAAGUUUCACUGGCCAAACAAAAGCGGAUAACAGAGGAAACUAAUCAAUACCGAUCUAGUAUAAAGAUGAUGGUUUCUUGACAGGAAUAGAAACAAUAUGAAAAUAAAACAAAUUUUGAUUUUAAAAAUUGAUAAGUAAAUCAAUGUGAUAAUUUUAUCUCUAAAUUGAAAUAAAUCAAAUCUUAUAUUUUAAUAA